rnacentral:tRNA from 1 species
GGAGUUGUGGCUCAGCGGUAGAGCGCUCGCCUAGCACGUGUGAGGCCCUGGGUUGAAUCCUCAGCACCA